CCAGUAAACGGCGGCCGUAACUAUAACGGUCCUAAGGUAGCGAAAUUCCUUGUCGGGUAAGUUCCGACCUGCACGAAUGGCGUAAUGAUGGCCAGGCUGUCUCCACCCGAGACUCAGUGAAAUUGAACUCGCUGUGAAGAUGCAGUGUACCCGCGGCAAGACGGAAAGACCCCGUGAACCUUUACUAUAGCUUGACACUGAACAUUGAGCCUUGAUGUGUAGGAUAGGUGGGAGGCUUUGAAGUGUGGACGCCAGUCUGCAUGGAGCCAACCUUGAAAUACCACCCUUUAACGUUUGAUGUUCUAACCUAGGCCCAUAAACU
rnacentral:rRNA from 1 species